GGCCCAUUAGCUCAGUUGGUYAGAGCGUCGUGCUAAUAACGCGAAGGUCGAAGGUUCGAUCCUUUCAUGGGCCA
rfam:Neodiprion lecontei NPV, complete genome.